rnacentral:rRNA from 1 species
GGCAGCAGUGGGGAAUAUUGGACAAUGGGCGCAAGCCUGAUCCAGCCAUACCGCGUGGGUGAAGAAGGCCUUCGGGUUGUAAAGCCCUUUUGUUGGGAAAGAAAUCCAGCUGGCUAAUACCCGGUUGGGAUGACGGUACCCAAAGAAUAAGCACCGGCUAACUUCGUGCCAGCAGCCGCGGUAAUACGAAGGGUGCAAGCGUUACUCGGAAUUACUGGGCGUAAAGCGUGCGUAGGUGGUCGUUUAAGUCCGUUGUGAAAGCCCUGGGCUCAACCUGGGAACUGCAGUGGAUACUGGGCGACUAGAAUGUGGUAGAGGGUAGCGGAAUUCCUGGUGUAGCAGUGAAAUGCGUAGAGAUCAGGAGGAACAUCCAUGGCGAAGGCAGCUACCUGGACCAACAUUGACACUGAGGCACGAAAGCGUGGGGAGCAAACAGGAUUAGAUACC